UGUACAGCUGAAAAUAAUAUAACGUUGUGUGUCAACUACACACAAUGGCUCCAUCAAGUGGCAGUUUCUUCAGCUUGGUGCUAGAGACUUUCAGCCUCAGCCCGUCCGUCCCCUCCCUAGAAGUUUGAAAGUCUUUAUGAUCAGAAACUUCUUUCAGUCAUUAUUGCUGUGGCCUAUGUCUACGAUCCUUUAUCCUGAGUUCAUCCUUCAGACUAUUUUCUGAGGAGUUGCCUUGUGAAUGGGCCCAAUGACUCAUACAUGGAUGAAGGAUAAUGCUUGAGACCCUGAGAAACUAUCAAGUGCUCGUUUACCACAGCUUCUUUUACACCUGACCUGUCUUCCCAGGAACAAUUCUAAUUGGAUACUAGAGAAGAAUGGGAAAGGAACAUAUAACCUACACUGAGGUAUUAAAAAUCAACGGGACAUAACCAAGUGUCUUGAAAUGAUUGUCCAAAAUACACCGAUCUGUCUCUUCUCCGGUAGUCAGCCCUUCUCAAUAUAUGGCACUGGUAUCUACCAGGUUCCUCAAGCUAAAAACCACACUGACAUCCUUGGCUCCUCUCUUCCCUUACUCCCAAAUUCAGUCUGUCAGCACGUCUCGUUGGCUCUGCCUCUAAACGAUUCCUUCAUUCCUCUGCUACUUUUCCUUCCCACAGCUGUCCACUGGUCCAAGCCCCGUCAUUUUGCACACGAACAACACAAUGACUCCUAACCAGUUCUCUGCUCUUGACCUUCA